CAAUUUAGGAGUCAUUAGUUUCAAUUAAAUAAUUAAUUCAGUGAAGUAUGGAAAUUCAAAAAAAAAUCAUACCUUUCUUUUAUUAAAUACGGGUUUGUUGAGGAAUCAUUUGGUGGUCAUGAUGAUUCAGGUUUCAGAAUUUAGGAGUUGAUGAUUUUUCAUUAAAAAAAAACAGUAAUUUCCUGGCGUCCCACAUACUGGUUGCGUGCGCAUGCGUGGCAUAUGUCAUAAUUGUCAACUUGAGUGGCUAAUGUGAUCUAUAUCAACUAGCAACUCUUGAUUCUACGCAUGUUCAACUUUUCGAAUGUACAGAGGAAAAAGGUCACAGUGUGUAAUUGAGUCUUGCAGCAUGUCCACAUCUAAGAAACUCUUCUAUAGAAUGAGCAUACUUCUUCAACCGUGUCUCAACGAUGAUUCUUCGUGGUGUAUGAUAUCCAGAAUUAUAGCAAUGUCAGGAAGUUAGAUAGCAGAAGUUCAGAACUAUUCGAAUGCAGAACAUCAUUAUGAAAAAACCUCUAUCAACGAAGUUUGAUGUCUUCGAAGAGAAUACAUACCACGAGAUCCAAUCAGCAUUUCUAACAAUUCAAAUGAUUCCAUUAUUGAUAUUGAAUUCAAUUCAUGGCAGAUCUGUUUUACUUCUGUACAAGGGCGUCCAUGAGUAAUUUGUUAUUAUAAAAACAUAAUUUCUGUAAA